rnacentral:rRNA from 1 species
UGUUUAUCCUGCAGGAGGUUGCUGCUAUGAGAAUCCCGCUAAGACAUGCAAGUCAAAGCCGCAAGGCUUGGCGGACUGCUCAGUAACACGUCGAUAACGUACCCUCAUGUCGGGGAUAACCUCGGGAAACUGAGGAUAAUACCCGAUAGGAGAUGGAUACUGGAAUGUACCAUCUCCUAAAGCAUACGCGCGCGAGGAUCGGUCGGCGGCGGAUUAGGUCGUUGGCGGUGUAAAGGACCACCAAGCCGAAGAUCCGUAAGGGCCGUGAAAGCGGUUGCCCUGAGAGGGACACUUAGAUACUGGUCCCAGCCCUACGGGGUGCAGCAGUUAGGAAAACUCCGCAAUGCUCGAAAGAGUGACGGGGGGAUUCUCAGUGCUUAGGUUAUACCUAGGCUUUUGUCAAGGGUAAAUACCUUGGCGAAUAAGUGGUGGGCAAGACUGGUGCCAGCCGCCGCGGUAACCCCAGCGCCACAAGUGGGAACCACUAUUAUUGGGUCUAAAGCAUCCGUAGCCGGCUCGCUAAAUGCUCUGUGAAAUCGUGGCGCCCAACGUCACGGCGUGCAGAGUAGACUGGCAAGCUAGGGACCGGGAGAAGCGUUCGGUAUUCCAUGGGGAGCGGUAAAAUGUGAUAAUCCAUGGAGGACCACCGAUGGCGAAGGCAGAACGCUAGAACGGAUCCGACGGUGAGGGAUGAAAGCUAGGGGAGCGAUUGGGAUUAGAUACCCCAGUAGUCCUAGCCGUAAACGCUGCGAGCCAGAUGUUGCACAAUCUACGUGAUUGUGCAGUGUCGUAACGAAGGUGUUAAGCUCGCCACCUGGGGAGUACGGUCGCAAGGCUGAAACUUAAAGGAAUUGGCGGGGGAGCAUUACCCGGGGUGCGGCGUGCGGUUCAAUUGAAUUCAACGCCCGAAACCUCACCAGGGGCGACGGCAGUAUGAUACUCAGUCUGAAGGGCUUAGUGGACGAGCCGAGAGGUGUUGCAUGGCCAGCGUCAGCUCGUGCCGUGAGGUGUCCUGUUAAGUCAGGCAACGAGCGAGACCCACAUUCAUAGUCGCUACCGGGAUCUUCGGAUCGACUGGGCACACUAUGGAGACUGCCCUGGAAACAGGGAGGAAGUUGUGGGCAACGCUAGGUCCGUACGGCCCGAAUCUCCUGGGCAACACGCGCGCAACAAUGGCACGGACAAUGGGACGCGACGCCGAAAGGCGAAGCCAAACCUCGAAACCGUGUCCUAGUGCAGGUCGAGGAUUGCAACUCAUCCUCGUGACGUCGGAAUCCCUAGUAAUCGGAGUUUAGCAUACUCCGGUGAAUAUGUCCCUGCUCCUUGCACACACCGCCCGUCAAACCAACCGAGUCGGGUGUCGGUGAGCCCGUGCUUUAUUGGUACGUUCGAACCGACGCUUGGUGAGGUGGGUUAAGUCGUCACAAGGUA